rnacentral:rRNA from 2 species
AGCGGGAGGCCUAACACAUGCAAGCCGAGCGGUAGAGUUCCUUCGGGAACUUGAGAGCGGCGUACGGGUGCGUAACACGUGUGCAACCUACCUUUAUCUGGGGGAUAGCCUUUCGAAAGGAAGAUUAAUACCCCAUAAUAUAAUGAUUGGCAUCAAUUAUUAUUGAAAACUCCGGUGGAUAGAGAUGGGCACGCGCAAGAUUAGAUAGUUGGUGAGGUAACGGCUCACCAAGUCAAUGAUCUUUAGGGGUCCUGAGAGGGAGAUCCCCCACACUGGUACUGAGACACGGACCAGACUCCUACGGGAGGCAGCAGUGAGGAAUAUUGGACAAUGGGUGAGAGCCUGAUCCAGCCAUCCCGCGUGAAGGAUGACGGUCCUAUGGAUUGUAAACUUCUUUUGUACAGGGAUAAACCUACUCUCGUGAGGGUAGCUGAAGGUACUGUACGAAUAAGCACCGGCUAACUCCGUGCCAGCAGCCGCGGUAAUACGGAGGGUGCAAGCGUUAUCCGGAUUUAUUGGGUUUAAAGGGUCCGUAGGCGGACUUGUAAGUCAGUGGUGAAAUCUCAUAGCUUAACUAUGAAACUG